rfam:Vigna angularis cultivar Jingnong 6 scaffold383_29, whole genome shotgun sequence.
UCCAUUGUUGUCCAGUGGUUAGGAUAUUUGGUUUUCACUGAGGAAACCCGGGUUCGUUUCCCGGCAAUGGAA